rnacentral:pre_miRNA from 1 species
UGACGUCACUAAUGACGUCAUCAGUGAUGAUGACGAUGACGAUGCGGAUGCCAGUGACGUCAUCGUGACGUCACUGAUGACGUCAUCAGUGGCGAUGA